GUGCCAGCAGCCGCGGUAAUUCCAGCUCCAAUAGCGUAUAUUAAAGUUGUUGUGGUUAAAAAGCUCGUAGUUGAACCUUGGGCCUGGCUGGCCGGUCCGCCUCACCGCGUGCACUGGUCCGGCCGGGCCUUUCCCUCUGUGGAACCCCAUACCCUUCACUGGGCGUGGCGGGGAAACAGGACAUUUACUUUGAAAAAAUUAGAGUGCUCCAGGCAGGCCUAUGCUCGAAUACAUUAGCAUGGAAUAAUAAAAUAGGACGCGCGGUUCUAUUUUGUUGGUUUAUAGGACCGCCGUAAUGAUUAAUAGGGACAGUCGGGGGCAUCAGUAUUCAACUGUCAGAGGUGAAAUUCUUGGAUCAGUUGAAGACUAACUACUGCGAAAGCAUUUGCCAAGGAUGUUUUCAUUAAUCAGGAACGAAAGUUAGGGGAUCGAAGACGAUCAGAUACCGUCGUAGUCUUAACCAUAAACUAUGCCGACUAGGGAUCGGACGGUGUUAUUCAUGACCCGUUCGGCACCUUACGAGAAAUCAAAGUGCUUGGGCUCCAGGGGGAGUAUGGUCGCAAGGCUGAAACUUAAAGAAAUUGACGGAAGGGCACCACCAGGGGUGGAGCCUGCGGCUUAAUUUGACUCAACACGGGGAAACUCACCAGGUCCAGACGCAAUAAGGAUUGACAGAUUGAGAGCUCUUUUCUUGAUUUGUGGGUGGUGGAUGCAUGGGCCGUUCUUAGUUGGUGGGGUGACUUGUCUGCUUAAUUGCGAUAACGAACGAGACCUUAACCUGCUAAAUAGCCCGCAUUGCUCUGCAAGUC
rnacentral:rRNA from 1 species